UCUAAUAUGGCAGAAUAGUGCGCUGGAUUUAAGCCCCAAAUAUAAAGUUUUUUCUUUUUUUAGAA
rnacentral:tRNA from 1 species